AGGAAAAUUUAUUUUAAUGAAGUUUUAGUCAAAAGCAUCCCAGUUGUGCAGAGAAUUUAAUUUUCACCUCAGACCACAAAAAGGAAUGUUUGGGGAGGGGUGCCUAAAUUCCUUAAGUAUCUAUUAUUUAAGACUUUUAGUGAUCAAAUCAACUUGCUAAUUACAGACAUUGAAGUUUGUUUGAAACAAAGAGUUAGGAUGAUAUAACCCCCCUCCUUUUGGUGGGGGGAGGGAAGACUGCCCUCUUAUAACAGAAACUAUCUUGAACAGAAUAGCUGCUGCUGGACUGCAAGAUGAGGUAUGUUGCUUGUUUUUAACUCUGAAAAUAUAUAUUAUAAAACAUACAUUACUCUUUGUCCAUGCUGUCCUUACUAAUACUGAUACCUGUCCUUAUUGCAAUGUGAUCUGUUUAGCAUGGAAACAGCAACCUCAAGCUGUAUUUUACCAGGGCAAGUAUGGUCAAAGCAUGAGAGACCCUUAGACCAAAGGGUAAACAAGAUCAAAAGAAAGAGACAGCUGAAAAGGAAAAUUCACCAGCAUCAAGAGCUGACAGAUGGAAGAAGCCAGCCUGGGCAACUCACUUGAUGAUGCCAUAGUUAGAGCUACAGGGACAUCUCCAGUAGAACCACCAAAGAACCAGGAAUCUGCUCUGAGACCUUUAACAGUGAAGAGUGCAGACUUAGCAUCCAAAGCUCAGAUACGUAAAACCCAAGGACAAAACAAAAGUCUCUGCUGUUUCACUGGUUGUCAUGAAAAAGCACAGAAUCCUAGGAUGGGGACAACUUUCAGGUUUCUUUAUUACAAGAUGCAACUCAAGACCAACUGUCUGAAAAGACCCUCUGAGAGCAUAAGUGGGAGACAAUAGUAGAAACAGAUAGGGAGCUUGCUGAUUUCUUAAACAAAGCCCAGUUGCCUCAGUCUUGGUGCCUAGUGAUGCUCUUUUUGCUGGGAGGAUUAACAUUAUCCACCUACAUUACAAACCUAAGCCCAGUGAAGAAAUCCACUAUUACGAUUUUACUAGCCUGUACCCUUUCGUAAACAAAAAUCAAAGAAUACCCAAUUGGACACACCAAUACAGUUCAUGACAAAUUUGGACCCCUCACAAAUUAUUUUGGAAUUGCGAAAGUUAAAGUGUAUCCCGUGAGGCCUCUUUCCCCGAUGUUAUCUGUCAGAGCGGGUGGCAAACUUAUGUUCCCGCUCUGCCAAACUUCUGCCAAAACCGAGCAGCAGGAGAUGUGCGCCCAUACUGAUGAGGAGAGAGUCAUCCUGGGGACUUGGUGCACAGUGGAAUUGAACAUGGCUGUAGCAAAGGUGUAUGCGAUGGCAAAAAUCUACAAAAUCUGGAAUUUUGAAGAAAAGCUUGACAAACUCUUUUCAGAGCACAUAAAAUUACACCUCCAUCAGAAACAAGAGGCUUCAGAGUAUCCCAGCUAGUGCACGGAUGAAGAAAAACAAAAUAAGUAUGUUAAUGAUUUCUACUGGAAAGAAGGUGUGCAUUUACGCCAACAUGAGAUCACGGUGAACCCCGCUAAGCGCCAAAUCGCUAAACUGUUUUUAAAUGCUCUCUGGGGUAAAUUCGGCCAAAGAACAAACCUACCCAAUACUAGCGUUGAGAGACACUGACGAACUCUUUCAAUCCCUGUUUCCCCCCGCCCCCCAAUUACGAGGUUUCAUCCUGCAAGUUUGUCGAUGACGAAACAG